AAAAACGGGAGAGACCGCGCACGCCGCGGCGCCGAAGGGGCUGCAACAACUCUCAGGCAAAAGGACCGUUUU
rnacentral:ncRNA from 1 species